GCUGCGUAUGUGCCUGCGACAGCAGGUCUCUGCUGCUGCUGCUAUUCACUUCAGUCAUGUCCGACUCUGUGCGACCCGAUAGACGGCAGCCCACCAGGCUCCCCUGUCCCUGGGAUUCUCCAGCCACCACCUGUAGGUUCUCUGAAGGGAGGCAACAGGUUGGUGCUAGAUGACGACCUUUGGGGGAAUAGAAGAGAGGCGUCAGCCAGACCGUGCCUGUGUGACGGGGCUCCUGGAUCUGAAGGCCGGGCUCCAGGGGUUGUGGUGCCCGCGCCAGCUCCUGGCACAGUGAACACGUUCCGCCUGACGGGAAGGCAGACGCGGGGAAGGAGGUGAGGUGACGGUCGCUGCGACAGCCGGGGCUGUAACCAGCGAGGAGACAGACACACAUUGGCCCGUGUGCUUCCCUCAGUCCACCCCUGUACCCUGUCCUCGGUGGUUCUUACAGAAUCCUGUGUGGGGUUUGACAGAGUGUUGGGGAUACCAACGCAAACAAGACAAGGUGCCCGACCCCAAAACGCCGACGAGAUGAGCCACACAGGAGGAGCGCCUCUGCGUCUAUGGAGCCAGGAGAGACUGCGUUGAGAGGACAGCUGUCGGGAGAGCUCUAAAGACAGGUGGGUGGCCAGGGGGUGGUGGGUAGAGAGAGGCAAGAAUUCAGGAACCCGGGGCAGAGAAAAAGGCAGGGGAAAGUCAGGGGUGACUGAAUGCAUGCUCUGUGUUACUCCAGGGAGUGUGGACGCCACUGGUCCUUCGGUGUAAAGGAAGCGAAGUUUUUUGUGAUGUUUUAUGUAUUUAACUUAAAAUUAGACAAAAUCGGAUAAAAAAUUAACUUGAUUC
ensembl:lncRNA